UACAGAGGGUGCAAGCGUUAAUCGGAAUUACUGGGCGUAAAGCGUGUGUAGGUGGUUGGAUAAGUUAGAUGUGAAAUCCCCGGGCUUAACCUGGGCACUGCGUUUAAGACUGUUCAACUAGAGUACUGUAGAGGAUAGUGGAAUUUCCAGUGUAGCGGUGAAAUGCGUAGAUAUUGGAAGGAACACCAGUGGCGAAGGCGACUAUCUGGACAGAUACUGACACUGAGACACGAAAGCAUGGGGAGCAAACAGG
rnacentral:rRNA from 1 species